GUACGGGGCACCUCCGCUCCAUCUAGCUUCGCGAGUUUGCAGUAACCAGCUCGACUUGCCUCGAGUACUUUGUACGGUCCUUCCCAGUUCGGGUCUAGCUUGUUGGAGCCAUGAGCUCGGUUGACCGAAUUCUUCCUUAGGACGAGGUCCCCCGGCUGGUAUUGUAUAGUCCUCACCUUGGCGUUAUGAUAGCGGGCGAGCUGGCUUUUGUACUUGGCCAUUCGUAUCGCCGCUUCCUCACGCUUAACCUCGAGCAUGUCCAAGUUGCACCGCAGUUCUUCCCCGUUGGCUGUCGCCACGAAGUUCUGUGUUCGAGGCGAGGGAAGACCGAUCUCUGCGGGGACCACUGCUUCUACCCCGUAAGUCAGGGAGAACGGGGUCUCGCGGGUGGCCGUUCUGGGCGUAGUGCGGUAGGCCCAGAGGACACUGGGGAGCUCGUCCAGCCAGCUCGAUUGGGCUGACUCCAACCUAGUCUUCAACCCUUGCAGAACGGUUCGGUUAGCACUCUCCACCUGGCCAUUGGCCUGGGGGUGACCGACCGACGUGAAGUGCUGGUUGAUUCCGAGCUCAGCGCACCAGCUCCGGAAGGGGUUCUCGGCGAACUGGCGCCCGUUGUCGGAUAUCAAGACAUGCGGGACGCCGAAACGGCAGACGAUGUUCCUCCAAAAGAAUUUCUGAAUCGCCAUCCCCGAAAUAGAGAUCCGGGGCUCUGCCUCCAUCCACUUUGUGAAGUAGUCGAUGGCCACCACGAGAUGCUCGUACUUUCCAGGAGCCCGAGGGAAAGGACCUAGGAGGUCUAUCCCCCAUUAGGCGAAAGGCCAGGGACUGUGGAUGGGGAUCAUUUCCCGAGCUGGCUGGUGGCACAGUGAGGCGUGCAUCUGGCAAGUUCGGCAUUUCUGUACCAGUUCUGCGGCGUCUCGGAAGACGGAGGGCCAAUAGUAGUCCAGGAGAAGGCACUUUUUUGCCAACACUCGGGCCCCCACAUGUGCCGCACAUAUCCCUUCAUGUACUUCGCGGAGGACGUAGUUACCUCCUCCGGCGUCACGCACUUUAGUCAGGGAGAUAAGUACGACCUCCUGUAUAGGAUUCCCCCAGCGUAGGCGUAUUUGGCAGCUCGGAGCUGGAUCCGGCGAGCCUCGGUUUUGUUCUCUGGGAGGGCAUCCGAGCUGAGGAAGUCAACGAGGGGAGCCAUCCAGGUAGCCGAGCUGUCUAUAGUCAGAACCUGGACUUGGCCGAUGCUUUUCUGUUUCACCACCUCCACCAAGACUUCCUUGCUUAGAUGGGCAAAUGAGGAGGACGCCAGCUUCGAAAGGGCGUCCGCACGCUUGUUCUGGGACCUCGGCACCCGUUCGAUUUCAAAGGUUCCGAACAAGGCCACCGCCUCCUGUACCUUAGCCAGGUAUUUCUUCAUAACCUCGUCCUUGGCUUCGUACUCCCCGCGCACCUGGAGGACGACGAGCUAAGAGUCGCUCCGAACUCUGAUCGCGGUGAUGUCCAUCUGGUGGGCUAUUCGCAACCCCGUCAACAGGGCCUCGUACUCGGCCUCGUUGUUGGAUGCCGGGAAAUCGAACCUAAGCGCAUAGGUCAGUUCUUCCCCGGUAGGUGAGGUGAGCAGCAGGCCAGCUCCGCUCCCCUCCUUGCUCGAGGCGCCGUCCACGAACAGCACCCACGGCUCCUCUGUCGGGGUGUCCGUGGGUGUUGGGACUAGCUCGGUCAGAGUCAGGCUGGCCCCCUCAGCAAGGAAGUCCGCCAAGGCUUGAGCCUUGAUUGCGGCGCGAGACUGAUAACUAAGGUCAUGUUCGGCCAGCUCGACGGCCCACUUGGUCAUCCUGCCAGAGACCUUGGGCUUGGUGAGUAUCUGACGCAGGGGCUGGUCGGUCAGGACUACAAUGCUGUGAGCCUGGAAGUAGGGGCGGAGCUUGCGAGCAGCGUGCACCAAAGCAAGGACCAGCUUCUCCGCCGGCGUGUACCUCGUUUCUGGCCCUUGUAGAGCGCGGCUGACGUAGUACACCGGCCUCUGAGCCCCCCGUCCUCCCGCACCAAAACCGCGCUGACGGCCUCGUUGCAGGCGGAUAGGUAAAGGAACAGAGUCUCCCCCAGGUCCGGGGCGGUCAGAGUGGGUAGCUCAACCAGAUAGGCCUUAAGGUCGGUGAAGGCUUUCUGACACUCUUCUGUCCAAUGAAAAUCCUUGGGCGCUUUCAAAACUCGGAAGAAGGGCAGCCCCCGGACUGCGGAGCGCGAGAGGAAACUACUUAGGGCGGCCAUCCUCCUUGUGAGCUGUUGGACUACCUUCACGUUCCUCGGAGGGGCCAUGUCCAUUAUGGCCUGGAGUUUGUCCGGAUUGGCCCGGAUCCCUUCUCGGGACACUAAGAAUCCCAGGAACCUUCCCGACCUGACCCCAAAUGUGCAUUUCUUCGGGUUCAGCCGCAUCCUGCUCUCCCGUAGGAUAUCCAGGAUCUCCCUCAGGUUCGAGAUGAGCUGCUGAUCAGUUCGGCUUUUGACGAUCAUGUCGUCCACGUAAACCUCCAUGUUUCUGCCGGUCUGAUUCUGGAACAGUUUGUUAACCAGGCGCUGGUAGGUAGCUCCAGCGUUCUUCAAUCCGAACAGCAUGGUCCUGUAGCAGUAGGUCCCCUCCUCGGUAACAAAGGAGGUCUUAUCCCGGUCCUCCUCGGCCAUCUCUAUCUGGUGGUAUCUCUUAAAGACAUCCAGAAAGCAUAAAACGUCAAAACCCACAGUAGAGUCCACUAACCUGUCAAUUCUUGGCAGAGGAAAGCAGUCCUUUGGGCAGGCUUUGUUGAGAUCCGUGAAGUCUACGCACAUCCGCCAGGUCUGAUCCUCCUUCUUGACCAAUACGGGGUUGGCCAACCAGGUCGGGUAGUAGACCUCAAGGAUGAUCUUGGACUCUAGCAGUUUACCGACCUCCACCUUGAUCACCUCGUUCCUUUCGGGGGCGAAGCUCCUCUUCUUCUGCUUCACCGGUUUGAAGCAGGGAUCCACGUCGAGGUGGUGGACUGCCAGGUCGGUUGGGAUCCCAGGCAUGUCAUCCACCGACCAAGCGAAGACCUGGGAGUACUCCCUCAACAGAGCCUUCAAGCCCUCCUUCUCCUCAGGGGGCAGCAGCGCGCCUAUGCGGAUCACCUGGUCAGGCCGUUCCUCUCUCAGGGGGAAAUCCUCAAUUUCGUCCUGUAUGCUCAACUGCGGGGCCUCGUCCCCUGGGCUGUAGGGCUCCAAACAGGUCGUCUGAGUGACCACCUUCUCCUGUCCCUGCAGCACCGCCAGGUAGCAAACUUUGGCCACGUUCGGAUCCCCACGCACCUCGGUUAUCCCUCCCGGCGUGGGGAAUUUAACGCUGAGGUGGAGAGUAGAGGGAAUAGCCCGGAGGGCAUUCAGAGCAGGCCUUCCAAGGAACACAUUGUACGGGGAUUGCUGCCUGACCACCACGAAGUUGACGGGGAUGGUCCGACACUUGGUGGCCUACCCUACCGUGACCAUCAGGGUGAUCAUUCCCUCCGGACUAACGGGUGGGCCCGUGAAGCCCACCAAGGGUGUCCGAACUGGCGUCAGCUGGUCGUCCCUCAGCACGGUCAGGUAGCAAACUCUGGCCACGUCCGGAUCCCCGCGCACCUCGGCUAUCCCUCCCGGCGUGGGGAAUUUAACGCUGAGGUGGAGAGUAGAGGGAAUAGCCCGGAGGGCAUUCAGAGCAGGCCUUCCAAGGAACACAUUGUACGGGGAUUGCUGCCUGACCACCACGAAGUUGACGGGGAUGGUCCGACACUUGGGGGCCUACCCUACCGUGACCAUCAGGGUGAUCAUUCCCUCCGGGCUAACGGGUGGGCCCGUGAAACCCACCAAGGGUGUCCGAACUGGCGUCAUUCCCUCCGGGCUAACGGGUGGGCCCGUGAAACCCACCAAGGGUGUCCGAACUGGCGUCAGCUGGUCGUCCCUCAGGCCGAGCUCUUUGAACACUCGGUAAAACAUGAUGUCAACCGCACUUCCCUGGUCGACGUAUACCUUCUUCACCCGAUAGUUGUUGGUUACAACAUCUAUCACAAUGGUCUCGUGGUUCCCAGAUGCUAGGGGAACCGCGUCCCUGGGCCCGAAGGUGAUCUCCUCGUCCAUGCGCAAGCGUUUGAGGGAGUCAUUCCCCUCGGGUGGGGGUCGCCUGUUUUUCCGAGCUGUGUGACUGUCUCCGCCCUUGGGGCCCCCAACGAUGGUGUUUAUCACCCCCGCUAGGUUCUGGUCCUCCAGGUCGGGAGAGUGGUUCCGAGGAGCGUCAUGCCGCUCGGGGCGGUCGCGACGCUGUCCCCCGUACCUAUCUCCGUAGUGGUUGCGCCCGGGUUCCUGACCUGGUCGACGUACGAACUGCCCUAGAAAGCCGCGCUGGAUCAGGUCCUCGAUCUCCUUACGCAGGGCCCAGCAUCCCUCCGUGUCGUGUCCGACGUCGCGGUGAAAGGCGCAGUACCGGUCCUGGUUCCUUUUGUUCCGGGGCGUCCCCAUCUUGGGCGGCCGAUCUCCUAGCCCUUCCGCCUCCAUAACAGCCAAGAUCUGGGCUCUAGGCCGUGUCAGACGGGUGUAGCUCUUCUCUGGGAGUGGCGGAGGAGCAGGGGCCUUCUCCUUCGAGAGCCGAUCGAAAACGUUUUUCUUGGCCGGGACGUCCUUGCCCUCCGGGGGGUUUGUCCGACCCUUCCGAUCUCCGAGCUCCCGAUCCGAUUCUUUCUUCAGGCGACCUGCCUCCUCCGCAUUAGCGGCCUCGUGCGCCCUGCGUAGGAGCUUCUCCAGGUUUACGGGAGGCUUCUUGGCCAGAUCGUAGAAGAGCUCUUCUACCCUGAGCCCAUUUGUGAAGGCGGCCAUUACCACUUUCUCGUCUUUGUCCCUAACCUGCAAGCUCUCCGCAUUGAAGCGGAUCAUGAAGUUCCUCAGCGACUCGUCGGGCCUCUGUCUGAUGGACAUCAGGUGGGUAGCGUUCCUCGCGUAAACCUUCGAGGAGACGAACUGGGUUACAAACUGCCGAUCCAGCUCGGGAAAACUCCGUAUAGACCCCGGUGCCAGUCCCUGGAACCAGAGCCGUGCUUUCCCCUUCAGGAACAUAGGGAAAGUUUUACAGCGGACCUCGUCCGCAGCGGUUUGCAGAUGCAUAUGCGUCAGGAAGACCGAAAGGUGGUCUUCCGGGUCUGUAGAGGCAUCGUACAUCUCAAUGCUCGGAAUCUUAAACCUCCGGGGUAGCGGGUAAUCCUCUAUCACCCGGGUAAAGGGCGAGGUUGCGUAGUUGUCCUCGUACGGCCGUGGCCUCAAGAUCUGCUCGAGCUUAUCCCGGGCAGGUUCCAAAUGAAGGGGGUCGCGGGGUCGGCUCUUGACAGACCGAGCAGGGGAGCGCUCGGACCCAUUCCGAGUGGACUUCCGCGGGGAGGGGUCUCUAGGACGGCUCCUCGCGGACCGGUCGCGGGAAUACCUCUCGCUGUCUCCGACCACAGAGGCUCGCGGGCGGGGUGGAGUCCGUGGUCGUUUCCUCCUGGGAGGCUGGUCUCGUGACUCAUCCUCCGAAGGGUCAGGGGGUGACUCCUUCUCCUUCCCCCUGGCCUUGGAGGUCUGCGCCCCCCCAGCCCCAUCCCCCUCCUUCGCCUGUCGGAUUAUAUCCUCCAGCAUAGGGAGAUUCUCCGUCACAAACUGGAAGAUCUGCUGCCUCCGCUCCCCUGAGAGGGCUGAGCCCCCGGCGCCCCGGGACGCCUCAGCCUCCUUUCGCUGGGACCCCUCACCGCCCCCAGGGCCGGUGCUCUCUACCGUGCGCUUGGAUCGCGUCCUGGCCAUCAACACAGUCUUACUUACCUUACGUUUCCCACAGACGGCGCCAACUGAAGAAGCACGGAACUUCCCCGGACCGAGCUGACCUGAAGAGCUCGGCGUGCUGAUGGUGAGAGCUCGUCCUAAGCCUGCAAGACAAACAAGGGUGAUCACGAGGGGGCUCUGAGGUGGUCCCCGUGAGCACUCCGACGGUCAAGUUAAUUUUUCGGCGAGUAGGGUUCACGGAGUUUAACUUAGUCAGAGUGUGUACUGCGUGUUAUUUGCAUCCCUUGUCAGAGUGGUGAAAGCUACCAUUUAUACCUGUCAAGAGAGUCCGACCUCCGCACGACGCGGGACUUGCCCAGUAUAGCUCCCAAUCCCGACCUAUGGGGGAUCUCCUCCGGUCUUCCCGGGACGGCCCCCUGGCUCCUCUGCAGCCCUAGUGGUAUGGCGGCCCAGGGCGAUCGCCAAAGGGCCGAAGGCCGAGGUCCAGCUCGGCCAUAGCUGGGCUGCCACGUGGUCGGGCCCAGAACAGGGCCUCUGCAUGUUGGUUGUUGGGUCUGCAAAAGAAUGACAGAGGUGAUUUAUUUAUGCGAGGUCUUCCAGCUCAUUUUUUGCUUUUCUUUGUUAAACAAUUCUUUCCGUAGCUCGCGUUCUGUGAGUGCGAGCUCCAAGAGCUCGCAUUCCUCAAAUGCGAACAGGAUUAUCUUAGAAUUGCACCAGCAGAUUACUCCCUUUUGUAGAAUAAUUUUUUUUUCAUUAUAACUUUAGAAUUUAUCCCAAACUUUUCAAACAGAUGCAUGGAAAUUUUAAAAUUUUCAUUUUUGACCCCUAAACUUUUAUAUAAUUUUACUUUGGCCCGACAACUUCUGCAAAUGAAUUAAUCUUACCCUUUAUAAUCUUUAAUCUUCAUUUUCAUGUUUUAAGCAUGUUUCUCAUUGAAUUAUUUCUGGGUUUUAUGGCAUAACUAGGCCUUAAUAAUUUUUAGAAAGAUCUAUUGGGCGUUUGGAAUCUCAAGUUUUUACCAAGUUUGUAUAAUACUAGUUUUUUAACAACUUUUAUUACAGGAACUCCAAAAAACUUAUCAAAGUUUUUAACCUACACACUUCAAAAAUACACAAAAAAAUUUCCCUUCAACUUUUCUUCUUUUUCCUCCCCCAUCCAACCCACCACGUACUCCGUCGCCGGUAGCCAUCACCACCACCAUUUCCCGCACCGAUCACUAUUCCGGCGGCCAGUUCCAGCCAAACUCUUUUUUUUUUCUCUCCCUCACCCCCUCUCCCCUCCCCUUUAACCGAUCUGUUGGUGCUCUUUUUCUUUUUUUUUUCUUUCUCCUUCCCCCCUCCCCUUUUCGCCUCUGCUUCCCCCGACACCCUUCCUGCUAGCAGCGAUUUGGUUGCGCAACCAGAUCGCAGCUAGGGGAGGGGAAGGGUGGGGGGGAAGGGAGGAGAGGGGGAGGGGAGGGGUGGUGAGGGAAGGAAGGGGAAGGGAAGACGGGAGGAGAGGGGGAGAGGGGGAGGGAGAAGAGGGAUGGCGGGGGAGGGAAGGGGAAGGGAGGAAGGAAAAGAAAAAAGAAAAAGAAAGAAAGAAAAUGAAAAGGAAAAAAAUUUCAUCUUACAAAAGUUUUUCUACAACUUCUACAGUGAUCUACAGUAAAGUUUAUACAAACACCAAAAAAACUCACCUUCCAAACGGGCCCAUUGUUUUGUUGGGUUUUAGUGAAAUGAGAUAAGAAAUGGUUUAGGAUUAUUUGUUGGGUUCUAAUAAGUGGGUUUGUUUUAUUUUCCUUUGGAUUUCUGACUUGGGUCCUAGAGCUAGAACCCAAUUUUUUGGACGGGCUUGUUUUGGCAAAAUUGGUGGAGAGUCCAUUAUUUUUUUGGGCUUUUAUUGGCCCGAAGAGGGAGUUUAGGCCCAUAAAACACAUAGAAUGGCCCAGUAGCCCUUUUUCUUAAGAAAUCUGGUAACGCAAAUUGCAAUCCGAUCCUUGUACUUUUGAGUAAUUUUAUUGUGGCCUUAAAAAUUUGGAAUUUUUUCAAUUAGGUUUCUAAUUUAAUUGUAAUUUGGUCCCUAAAUUUUAAUUUUAUUUUAUUCUGACCCUUAAUUUUUGUAAUAAUUAUAAUUUUGCCCAAAAACUUUCUUAUAUUUUGCAAUUAGGUCCCUAUUAGUUUUGAUAUCUUAAAUACCAGUUGCUUUUCUUCUUUAAUUGUUAAUUAUACUUCAUUUAAGUGCUUUAAUUGGUAUAUUUCAUGAUUAUUUCCAUUUUUUAUAAUUAAAUUGGUGUCUUAAUCAUUUUGUUGAUUUUGGAGCAUAAAUAGGACAAAUUCAACCUCAUUUAACCACUACUUCAAGGGAGGUACUUUUUUUUUUAUUUUAAAUCCUCUUAUGUGCUCCUAUGUGUUUUUUUAUGUAUAAUUGCAUGUUUUGAGUACUUUUUCUUUUAAUUACUCAUUUUAUUCAUUUUAAGUUUCAUUUAUUUUAUUUAAUUUUGAUGAUUAUUUAUGAGGCAUUUAAAUGCCAAUUUGUAAUAGAUAGGUACUCAAGACAUGUAUUUAGAUAGAUUAUGAUAGAUAGAUUUUAAUUAGAAAUUUAAGAAAUAAUAACCUAAAUAUUACAUUUAGAAAUUUAAGAAAUAAUAACCUAAAUAUUACAUUUAUCUAACUAAUUAUAUUUUUGCUAAAAAAAUAUAAUUAGUUAGAUAAAUGUAAUAUUUAGGUUAUUAUUUCUUAAAUUUCCUCCUUUUAGAUUGUAAUUAGGGUCCUGAAUGUAAUAGUUAGACUUUUAUUUGCGUUUAUUUGCUUGUGUGCUUACAUACUUGUGUGCUUACAUGUUUAUUCGUUUUCACUAGGGUUUUGCAUCUAGAAAUUAUGCCUAUAUGUUAUAUGUUCCAUGUGCAUUAUGUAUUUAUUUGCUUUAAUUAUGUUUGAUAUGAUUUAUUUAGUUAUAAUAAAUGCAUAACGUCUCCACACUAGUCCAACGCUAGUUAUGGCCAUUCUCUCCGAUUUCUCACUAGUCCAAUACUAGUGAAGACUUGUAGAAAUGGGCUAGUCCAAUGCUAGAUUCUUUAGACCAUUUUCGCGCUAGAUUCACACUUUUUGCGUAACAUUCAUCGCAUUUCAUACAUAUUUUGUAUUUUUAGGAUAUUUUCUCAUCUUACAUGAUAUUUCCUAUAUAUUAUUUCCCCUAAUCCUAUGUGCGUGAAACAUGACAUUUAGACUUGUAUUAGAAGUAGGCUAGUCCAUUCGCUUAACUAGGUUAGAGAGUCACCCUUCAAAUAUGGGAAAUGGACAAGUGUGACUUCUUAGUUUUAGCACGUUCUCAUCCCCUCUAUAAAAAGGAAAAACGAGUUACGAAUCUUAGUCCCCCGUACCUAUUAUGUUGCAUUCCUCUCCUUUAGGUCACGUAUAUUUAUAUAUUAUAAUUCUUCUUUUUCUUUGAGUCUCAUUUUUGCAUAUUCGUGACCUCUUCUAAAAAUCAUUUUUGGGCAUCAUAAUUAAUUUGAUUUGCACCAAUUAGAUUUUGAAAGAUAUUUUGACCCUCUCGAUAUCCAUUAGGUCUAGAUUUGCAUCAAUAUAAAAACAUCCAACUGUGAUAAGUUUUACAGGUUAGAUUAAGAAAAUUUUCGACUAAAUCUCGCAACUAAGCUUGGUUAGGUUGAAAGGGUUGUUUAGAUUUGAUUUUAUCAAAUCUUUACCUUCUCUUUCGUCAACCGUGACUCCCGAACUUUUUUCUCUUGUUUUUCGAAAACCUGGAGUGGUCUAAAAAGGGUUUUAUUUAUUUUUUAAAACAUAUUUUGGGUGAUUUAGUACAACUUAACUCAAUACCAAUUUAAAACCCUUUUUAGACUAUUAUUUUGGGUUUAAACCGUCGCACUUUCUAAGUCCCAUUUUAGACCCUUUAUUUUUAUUUAUUUUCUAAAAUCAAAAUCCCAUUUUCUUUCUUUUUAUUUUUGCAAAUAUUUAAACUAAAACAAAAACUAAUCAAGAACUAAAACUCAUUUCUUUAUUCAUCUUUUAAUAAAAAUUACAUUUUUAUACUCCAAAUAUUCUUUAAAAUAUAAAAAUCAUUUUUUUAAUCAUUAAUUCAUUUUCUUUAACCAACUAGUAAGAUUUUAUUUUUUCAAAAAAUCAAAAACUCAUUGAGAAUAAAAACUAAUUUUCAAAUAAAUUUAUUUAUUCAUUUAUUUAUUUUUUCCAAAAAAAUGGGGUGCGAUAUUACGCAUUCUUCAGAUUCUGCUACAGGAGUGUAUCCAUUCUCUUUCUUUCACAUAGUCUCCUACUAUGGCCACAUUAGCCUACAUGUAGAGGCCUAAAGCUAGUUGAGGGAACUUGAUCCCAUAUAAGGCCUCAAAAGGACUUAUCUGUAUGGCAUUGUGGUAUGUAAUAUUAUACCACCACUCUACCACAGAUAACCAAGAGUUCCAUCUUUUAGGUUCUAGGUGGGACAUACAUCUAAUGUACAUUUCCAUAACUUGAUUGACUCUUUCUGAUUGACCAUCAGUUUGAGGAUGGUAAGUAGUACUCAAACUCAAUUCAGCACCCAAUAAAGAGAACAACUUAGUCCAAAAUUGACUAACAAAGAUCUUGUCUCUAUAUGAAACCAUGCUUUGGGGAUUUCCAUGUAACUUCUAUCCUAUGAUCCAUGAAAAUUCUGGCCACUUUAGGUGCAUCAACGGGGUGGAACAAUCUAACAAAAUGGGCAUACUUGGUGAAUCUAUUUACUACCACUAGAAUUGAGUCUUUCCCUUCCAAGUUAGGCAAUCUCUCAAUGAAACUCAUGGUGAUAUGGCUUUAGGAGUGCUGUGGUAUAGGACGUGGUUGCAGCAACUUAGGAUAGGCAACAUGCUCAUCCUUACAUUUCCUGCAGGCUUCACACUGCAAUACUUCAUUCCUAAUCUCUUUAUACAACCCUGGCCAGUGGAAUAGUUGCUUGGCUCUCAUGAAGUUGGCUUGAAUCCCUGAAUGACCACCUAAUUGAGAGUCAUGAAGGGCAGUAAUAAGCUUCUUUCUUAUAUCUCCACCCAUCCCAACAUAUACUUGUAUUCCAAUAUGCUACUUUGAUAGCUAUAAUCUAGAACCUAGCCUUGGGUCACCAUUACCUCGCUAAUGAGAUUCUAAGCCUACUCAUCUCCUUGGUAGCUCUCUGAUACUUCUUUCAUCCAUUUUGGUACCAUAGUUGUUAUGGCUGAACACUCAACUUCCUUUACUUUUUCCCUCCUGAAAAGUGCAUUUCCUUUCCCUUUUUGUAAUGAAUCUCAUAACUCAACCCCAUAAAUUCGAUCAGCCAUUUCUUUUGAAGUGAAGUAGUGAUCCUUUGCUCUAAUAGAUACUUUAAGCUCUGGUGAUCAGUGUUAAUUAUGAAAUGGUGGCCCUUCAAAUAGUACCUCUGUUUGGUGAUAGUUGUGACUAGAGCCAGUAGCUCAUUCUCAUAUAUUGAUAAUCCAAGGUUCUUCUGCCCUAAACUCUGACUCAAAAAGGCCAAUGGUUUUUUGUUCUGCAUGUGCCUAGCACCUAAUCCUCUAUAACAAGCAUAUGUUUCAAUCACAAAUUGCUGAGUGAAGUCAAGAAGGGCUAUUAUAAUCCUCUAUAACAAGCAUAUGUUUCAAUCACAAAUUGCUGAGUGAAGUCAGGAAGGGCUAUUAUAGGUGUACUGCACAUAGCUAGCUUGAAUUUCUCAAAUGCUUCCUCAGCAUCAAUACCCCACUUGAAGCUGUCCUUCCUUAGCAAAACUGUUAAAGUUUUGGCAAUGGCCCCAUAGCUCUUGACAAAUUUCCUAUAGUAGCUAGUCAAGCCAAGGAAUCCCUUUAACUGUCUGACAUUAUCAGGUCUUGGCCACUGCAUCAGGCUCUCUAUCUUCUUGGGAUCAGCUCUCACUUCUUUUGUUGUGAUAAUGUGUUCUAGUUAUUCCAUCUAUGACUGAGCAAAGGAACACUUACUCCACUUUGCAUACAACUAGUAUUGUCACAGGAUACCCAAGACCUCAGUAUCAUGUUCUAUAUGAUUUUCCAGAGUUGGGCUGUACACUAGUAUAUCAUCAAAAAAUACCAGGACAUGUUUUCUCAUCUGGUCUUUGAAUACAUGGUUCAUUAGACUCUAGAAAGUAGUCGGGGCAUUGGUCCGCCCAAAGGACAUGACCUUGAACUCAUAGCGGCCCUAGUGAGUUUUGAAGACUGUCUUGGGAACGUUCUCUACCUUCACUCUAAUAUGGAAAUAGCCAGCUCUCAGGUCUAUUUUAGUGAAGUACUUGGACUCAUGCAACUCAUCCAGAAGUACUGCACCUCACUAAUUUCUCCAAUUAGUUCCAUUGGUUGUUUUCCCUUCUAGAACUUCAUGUUUAGCUUUUUGAAAUCAAAUUCCGCGAGGCUAUACCUUCCUAACCAAUCUACUCCUAACACCAAAUCACAACUACCCAGCUUCAAGGUGUUGAACUAGUGCUGGAAUUCAUACUCCUAAAACCAAAUCUUUUGCAUGGAUUUUAGGUUCUUUUCCUGUAGUUUUGCUGUUUCUAUAGCAUCUACCAGGGUUGCAGGUUUAGCCAGUUUGACCAUGUUAACUAUUUCAUCUUUCAGUCUACUCAGGAAACAUGAUUUGUAAUAAGUAUCUGACAAGUUGGGUAAAGAGGGCAUUACUAGGGCUUUUAGCAACUCAAAUUUUUCCAGGUAAUCAACUAUGGAACUAAUAUGUACUAGUUUGUUAAACUUUCAAUGGCUUCUUCUGGUUCCUUCUCCAAAUCUUUCAGACAUAGCAACUGAUAACUCAGGCCAUGGAAUUAAACUUCCGCCACUGAACAUUCCAUGGAACCAAAUAUCUACCUUGUCCCUAAAGUAUAGUUCUACAAUUUCUGACUUCAUUUCUUCCUUUACACCAUGGAUCUAGAAGUACUUGUUAGCCUUUCGAACCCAUUUCCUCGGGUUCUCCCCAUCAAAAUUAGGCAAUUCCAUCUUAGGCAAUCUGCCUGUGUUUUUUGGUUCUGACUUCCCCAUAAUCUUUUUUUGUACUUCCAUCUUCCCAUUCCCUUCUUUGUACCAAUCCCAGAACUACUUCUCUCGAUCUCCUUCCCUUUGUCAUUUAGCCCGAAGCAUCAUAGCCAUCAUCCCUUCAUAUUUCUGAUCUAAAUUUUUUAGUGCCUUUUUAGUAUUUUCCUGUCUAUACUCCAUAGCUCUCACAACUUGCUCCAACCCAUCAUUUUUGGUCGCAUAAGUUCUCAUUACACUCCCUAGCUCAGUGAGAUCUUUUCUUAAUGCUUCAUCUUGUGAUUUAGUGAUCCCUAUGGCUUGUAGCUGAGCUCUGAUAUCAUUGGAAUGGCGUAAAAACUGGCCUGAGUAAAAUUUAAAGUUGACAAUGAAAGUCAAUCAAACAGUAAUUCUAACCAAAAAAUUAAGAGAAUCUCCAUUUCCAUUAAUGAAACUUCCAGUAAUGAAUACAAAGCAGAUAAUAUGGAUUAAGUUAAGAAGAUGGAGAGAAAUGAAGGAAACUUGGGAAAGGGAAAAAAAGAGAGAGAAUAUCCCAAAACUCUCGCUACAAAAUCCGGAAAAAUGAUCAAAAGCGACUCAUUACAAAGAAAUUCUGCUUAUACUAUAAUUUCUCUAACUAACAUUCAAUUUUGGCUACUAAAACUCUGACACGUGGCUGUCUGAGCCAACCGUUGAAGUGGUCCUCGGUUCAGGCGAGCAAUCAGCAUUCAGCAAUGUGAUUUUUCCAGUGAAAGCGUGCUUGCCUUCACAAUGACUCUGCUUGCCAACGUUCACGCUUUCAGCUCCAUCUGUCACGCUUUCUUCAUUUCCUUUCCUGAUUGACACUUCUAAGCUACUGAUCGAUCCUCCUACUCCAUCAAGGACAGCGGGGACUAUGGAUGGCUUUGCCUUGAGGGCGAGCUUGGGAGGCGGAGUAGAAAUGAAUUAGAUCAAAGGCGGAGCUAUUGAUGAUUAACCAAGGUAUUUUGGGUAUUUGAAGAGAUAUUGUCUGGCAGGAAAUUCAUAAUCCGAUGGCGAGGCUUUUAUCAAGAACAUUCAAAUCCCUCAAGCCCCAUCACAACAUCAAUCCUUGCCCUAAACCUCUUCUAAAGGCUCCAACAACUUCAGUGGCAACCCCAUCAAAAUCGGAAUUCUCUUCAUCAUCACCAUCGUUGAAGACAGCGCCUGAAGUAUCAUCUUCGAAAUCGAAAUCAAGAUUAUCAAAAUCAUUGAAGAAUUCUUGGUCUGUGUAUCUGAUUCUAUCAACCAAUCCGCCGAUCAAGACUUAU
rnacentral:lncRNA from 1 species